rnacentral:rRNA from 1 species
ACGUGCCUUUCGGUCUGGAAUAACCCAGGGAAACUUGGGCUAAUGCCGGAUACGCCCUUCGGGGGAAAGAUUUAUUGCCGAAAGAUCGGCCCGCGUCGGAUUAGCUUGUUGGUGGGGUAAAAGCCUACCAAGGCGACGAUCCGUAGCUGGUCUGAGAGGAUGAUCAGCCACACUGGGACUGAGACACGGCCCAGACUCCUACGGGAGGCAGCAGUGGGGAAUAUUGGACAAUGGGCGAAAGCCUGAUCCAGCCAUGCCGCGUGGGUGAAGAAGGCCCUAGGGUUGUAAACCCCUUUCAGCGGGGAAGAUAAUGACGGUACCCGCAGAAGAAGCCCCGGCUAACUCCGUGCCAGCAGCCGCGGUAAUACGGAGGGGGCUAGCGUUGUUCGGAAUUACUGGGCGUAAAGCGCGCGUAGGCGGACUUUCAAGUCAGGGGUGAAAUCCCGAGGCUCAACCUCGGAACUGCCUUUGAUACUGUAAGUCUUGAGUCCGAGAGAGGUGAGUGGAAUUCCUAGUGUAGAGGUGAAAUUCGUAGAUAUUA